rnacentral:rRNA from 1 species
GAUGAACGCUAGCGGCGUGCCUAAUACAUGCAAGUCGAGCGAACAGACGAGGGGCUUGCUCCUCUGACGUUAGCGGCGGACGGGUGAGUAACACGUGGAUAACCUACCUAUAAGACUGGGAUAACUUCGGGAAACCGGAGCUAAUACCGGAUAAUAUAUUGAACCGCAUGGUUCAAUAGUGAAAGACGGUUUUGCUGUCACUUAUAGAUGGAUCCGCGCCGCAUUAGCUAGUUGGUAAGGUAACGGCUUACCAAGGCAACGAUGCGUAGCCGACCUGAGAGGGUGAUCGGCCACACGGGAACUGAGACACGGUCCAGACCCCUACGGGAGGCAGCAGUAGGGAAUCUGCCGCAAUGGGCGAAAGCCUGACGGAGCAACGCCGCGUGAGUGAUGAAGGUCUUCGGAUCGUAAAACUCUGUUAUGAGGGAAGAACAAAUGUGUAAGUAACUAUGCACGUCUUGACGGUACCUAAUCAGAAAGCCACGGCUAACUACGU